rnacentral:rRNA from 1 species
CGGAGAGUGACUAGCUACUGCAAUCUGGGUUGUGUCAAUCUAGAUAAUGUAAAGGAACAUUACGAGAUUACUUUACUAAUAGUGUCGUCCAAAUACUGGUGCCAGAAGACUCGGUAAGGCCAGAGACGCAAACGUUAAUCAUCUUUAACUGGCGUAAAGGGUUCGUAGGCAGUUUAUACAUAAAUACAUAAACUAGAAUCAAAUAGAGGUAAAUACAAAUCAUACUUUUUGUAGGGUUGAAAUCUGAAAAUAAAAAGUGGAAUACUAAUGGCGAAGGCUAUUUUACCAAUUCUGAUUGACGCUGAGGAACGAAGGUGUGGGUAGGAAAAAGGAUUAGAGACCCUAGUACUCCACACUGACAACGAUGAGUGGUCAUUGAUGUGAUUUAACAUCAUGUUAAUGCGGUUAACACGAUAACCAUUCCGCCUUGUGAGUACGACUGCAAAGUUGAAAACAAAAAAAUUAGUCGAUCUCGGAGCAAACGAAGUGAAGCAUGUUAUUUAAUUC